rnacentral:rRNA from 1 species
UUCCCCGUUUGGGGUCUAUAUACAGGUGCUGCAUGGUUGUCGUCAGCUCGUGCUGUGAGGUGUUGGGUUAAGUCCCGCAACGAGCGCAACCCUUGUUAUCUGUUACCAGCAUGUAAUGGUGGGGACUCAGAUAAGACUGCCGGUGAUAAGUCGGAGGAAGGUGAGGAUGACGUCAAAUCAUCAUGGCCC